CAAUAGCGUAUAUUAAAGUUGUUGCAGUUAAAAAGCUCGUAGUUGGAUUUCUGGUGGGAGCGAUCGGUCUGGCGCUUAGCGCGAGUACUUGCAUCGUCUCCGGCCAUCCUUGGGGAGAGUCUGUCUGGCAUUAAGUUGUCGGGCAGAGGAUCCUCAUCGUUUACUGUGAACAAAUUAGAGUGUUCAAAGCAGGCUUAUGCCGUUGAAUAUAUUAGCAUGGAAUAAUAAGAUAGGACUUUGGUACUAUUUUGUUGGUUUGCGCACCAAAGUAAUGAUUAAUAGGGACAGUUGGGGGUAUUCGUAUUCCGUUGUCAGAGGUGAAAUUCUUGGAUUUACGGAAGACGAACUACUGCGAAAGCAUUUACCAAGGAUGUUAUCAUUAA
rnacentral:rRNA from 1 species